rnacentral:rRNA from 1 species
UGAGUAAUACAUCGGAACAUGUCCUGUAGUGGGGGAUAGCCCGGCGAAAGCCGGAUUAAUACCGCAUACGAUCUACGGAUGAAAGCGGGGGACCUUCGGGCCUCGCGCUAUAGGGUUGGCCGAUGGCUGAUUAGCUAGUUGGUGGGGUAAAGGCCUACCAAGGCGACGAUCAGUAGCUGGUCUGAGAGGACGACCAGCCACACUGGGACUGAGACACGGCCCACACUCCUACGGGAGGCAGCAGUGGGGAAUUUUGGACAAUGGGCGAAAGCCUGAUCCAGCAAUGCCGCGUGUGUGAAGAAGGCCUUCGGGUUGUAAAGCACUUUUGUCCGGAAAGAAAUCCUUGGCUCUAAUACAGUCGGGGGAUGACGGUACCGGAAGAAUAAGCACCGGCUAACUACGUGCCAGCAGCCGCGGUAAUACGUAGGGUGCAAGCGUUAAUCGGAAUUACUGGGCGUAAAGCGUGCGCAGGCGGUUUGCUAAGACCGAUGUGAAAUCCCCGGGCUCAACCUGGGAACUGCAUUGGUGACUGGCAGGCUAUAGUAUGGCAGAGGGGGGUAGAAUUCCACGUGUAGCAGUGAAAUGCGUAGAGAUGUGGAG